UCAUAAAAAAAAUCAGAUGAAUUUUGUCUGCGGAACAUUCUGCAAAAAUAUCUGACCAAAACUAUCUGAAGCCCUGUAAAAAGUCUGAGUCAUUUCUGCUCUAUUUCUUUCCCUACGAAUGGUAAGAGCUGGGGAUUGUGGUAUGUGCCUUUAGUCCUAGCUACUCCGGAGGCUGAGGCAGGAGGAUCACCUGAGCCCAGGACUUUGAGGCCGCUGUAAGCUAUGAUCAUGCCACUGCACUCCAGCUCAGGCAACAGUGAGACCCGGUCUCAACAAACAAAAGAAAAUAAAAGAAUGGUAGACAAGCGAGAAGCCUACUUUCUCUUCAUGUAACACGUUGGCCUAAGAGAUCUAUAGAGCUUUUUAAAAACAAAGAAGGCAGCAAGAUUUAAAAUAAUAAAACCGGCAAUAGGUAUUUUUAAAAGUGAGAGAAACUAUCAGAGAGCUGUAGCAGAAAAGCAAGUUAAAAAUAAAGGAAACAGAAAAGGAACUGAUACAGCUGAUUUGAUACUGGAAAAAUCACCCAGGAGGCAGCGUGGACAAUGGAUUGGAGAAGGGCGAACAUUCAGUCAGAGACUUUGUGGGCUUACUGUAAAUUAGAGGGAGCAAAUUGGAGGAGAAAUGACAAAAGAAACAGAAAAAAUGUUUAAUCAGACAAAGGAACUAAAAAACCUCAGUCUUAAUUAGAAGAUGGUCAAACAAAUCUCUUAACUGAUGUUCACAAUGAUGGUUUCAAGUCAUCUAAGGAAUGGGAGAAAAUACAACUGGUGAAUUGCAAAGAUAUUAAGAAAUUUUUUUCAUGACCUCCAAAG
rnacentral:lncRNA from 10 species